ACUCCUGCCUCAGGCCUCAGCCACCACAGUAAGUGGAACUCUAUACCUCCACCUCGCCUGGCUGGGUGGAGCCUCUAAACUCAGGAUUCUGCCUUGAGCUGUGGCUCUCCCCUCAGGUUGACAGGGUCCAGAGCAAAACCUACGGAAGAAGCUGCAGAGGCCAGGUGGAGGGAAGGAUGCUGAACUGGAGGAGGCCAGGAAAUUAUGAGGUGAUUCUAAGCACAUUAAAAUCUGGAUGACACUUAUCUGAAUCAUUUCGCAACUUGGAGAGAGAUGGAGAAGACACGCAUGGUGUAACUGGGCAUCACCAGAAUGUGCACUGCCAUCUGUGGCUGUCUUCCUGCUGGCAAAUCCUUUUCAUUCCAAGCAAAUAAGAUUCCCUAAAUUAGACAAAAAGGAAGAAACACAACAGAGUCCAUAAUUCUGAGAGGAAGAGAAGAGUGAUCAUCAGCAGCAAAAGGCAAUUGCAGAGAAGCACCACCAAGAGCCAGCUUCAUGCUCAGGAGUGAAUGCUGAGCCGCCUCCUCGUGGUUUCCGGUGCUCCACAUGUUCAGAGAAACUUCUCUGGUAAGAAACUAUAGAAAUGGUGCAUGGAAGUGUUACUAGAAAGGGUUCCUGAUCCAAACCCCAAGAGAGGGUUCUUGGAUCUCACGCAAGAUCCAAGAAUUUAGGGUGCAUCCAUAGAGUAAAGUGAAAGCAAGUUUAUUAGUGUAUUAGUUUGUUUUCAUGCUGCUAAUAAACACAUACCUGAGACUGGGUAAUUUAUACAGGAAAGAGGUUUAAUGGACUCCCAGUUCCACACGGCUGGCGAGGCCUCACAAUCAUGGUGGAAGGCAAGGAGGAGCAAGUCAUGUCUUACAUGGAUGGCAGCAGGCAAAGAGAGAGCUUGUGCAGGGAAACUCCCCUUUAUAAAACCAUCAGAUCUUGUGAGACUUAUUCACUGUCACGACAACAGCAUGGAAAGACCUGCCCCCAUGAUUCAAUUACCUCCCACCAGGUCCCUCCCACAACACAUGGGAAUUCAAGAUGAGAUUUGGGUGGGGACAUAGUCAAACUGUAUCAAUUGGGAAAGUAAAGGAAUAAAAGAAUAGGAGGAGCCAAGAUGGCUGAAUAGGAACAGCUCCAGUCUACAGCUCCCAGCAUGAGCGACGCAGAAGAUGGGUGAUUUCUGCAUUUCCAUCUGAGCUUUGAAAAGAGCAGUGGUUCUCCCAGCACGCAGCUGGAGAUCUGAGAAUGGGCAGACUGCCUCCUCAAGUGGGUCUCUGACCCCUGACCCCUGAGCAGCCUAACUGGGAGGCACCCCCCAGUAGGGGCAGACUGACACUUCACAUGGCCGGGUACUCCUCUGAGACAAAACUUCCAGAGGAACGAUCAGAUGGCAGCAUUCGCAGUUCACGAAAAACCGCUGUUCUGCAAACACCGCUGCAGAUACCCAGGCAAACAGGGUCUGGAGUGGACCUCUAGCAAACUCCAACAGACCUGCAGCUGAGGGUCCUGUCUGUUAGAAGGAAAACUAACAAACAGAAAGGACAACCACACCAAAAACCCAUCUGUACAUCACCAUCAUCAAAGACCAAAAGUAGAUAAAACCACAAAGAUAGGGAAAAAACAGAGCAGAAAAACUGGAAACUCUAAAAAGCAGAGCACCUCUCCUCCUCCACUAUUCACAAUUGCAAAGACUUGGAACCAACCCAAAUGUCCAACAAUGAUAGACUGGAUUAAGAAAAUGUGGCACAUAUACACCAUGGACUACUGUGCAGCCAUAAAAAAUGAUGAGUUCAUGUCCUUUCUAGGGACAUGGAUGAAAUUGGAAAUCAUCAUUCUCAGUAAACUAUCGCAAGGACAAAAAACCAAACACCGCAUGUUCUCACUCAUAGGUGGGAAUUGAACAAUGAGAACACAUGGACACAGGAAGGGGAACAUCACACUCUGGGGACUAUUGUGGGGUGGGGGGAGGGGGGAGGGAUAGCACUGGGAGAUAUACCUAAUGCUAGAUGAUGAGUUAGUGGGUGCAGCGUACCAGCAUGGCACAUGUAUACAUAUGUAACUAACCUGCACAAUGUGCACAUGUACCCUAAAACUUAAAGUAUAAUAAUAAAACAAAAAGGAAUAAAAGAAUAGCUACACCACAGACAGAGCAGCCCCAAGGGCUGCUGGUUGCCCAUUUUUAUGGUUAUUUCUUGAUUAUAUGCUAAACAAGGGGUGGAUCAUUCAUGCCUCCCCUUUUUUUAGGCCCUAUAGGGUAACUUCCUGACAUUGCUAUGGCAUUUAUAAGCUGUCAUGGUGCUGAUGGGAGUGUAGCAGUGAGGAUGACCAGAAGUCAAUCUCAUUGCCAUCUUGGUUUUGAUGGUUUUAGCUGGCUUCUUUACUGCAACCAGUUUUCAGUAGGUCUCAGCUUUAUUUUACCCAGCCCCUAUUCGAGAUGGAGUUGCUCUGGUUCAGACACCUCUGACAGAAGUAUAGUCUUGACAUCAGGGUUUUAAAAAGCUCCCCAGGUAGUUUUGGGUUUUAAAAAGCUCCCCAGGUAGUUUUAAAGUGCUUCCCAGAUUGAGAAGCACUAUACAAGAUUAGAGCUUUUAAAUUGCAGUGGUAAGUCACCUGGGAACCAUGCUAAAAAACACGAAUGCUGAUUUAGUCAGUAUGGGGAGGGGCCUGAGAUUCUGCAUUUCUAAAAAAGCUUCCAGGAGACCCAUUGCUGCUUGUUGAGGAAUAAACUUCCAAGGCACCAGAUGAGAUAAUCUACUUCCAAAUGUCCUCUAGUCAAGCCAGGACUCACGAGCUCUCAUGUUAUUUUCUUUCCAUCCUAACCCUACACAGACUCAAGUACCUCACGUUAUUUACAGGUAGAAAGGCAUUUUUGUGUAUAUACUGUUUUGUUUUUAAAUAUCUGAUAGCAAGGAAUCUUAUUCUAGUCAAACAUGAAAUAUUACCAGAAAAGUGCAAAACCGUAAAGUCCAAAUUCAGAAUGAUGACCUUAGGCUCACGAAACCAGAGUGCAAUUGCUGAUGUGAGGGAUGCACUUAGAACCCGAGUUGGUAUGGAACUCAUUUUAAACUGAAGCCACUGGGGAUUCAAUAGGUGCAGAAAGAAGCCUUCUUGGUGCUUCCUUUAUCUGACAAAAAGCAGAGACUUCUGGAAAAAUGAGGCUGCCAUACCUCCCUCUUACGGGUGGCUUUUACUCCCAGGAAGAUGAUCAAGAAACCUACCGUAAGUCCUCUCUCCAGGGAAGUUUUAUGGCCAUGAAUGAGAUACAGAGAUCACUCAGGCCUGCAUGAACAAGCACUAUCACAAACUCUUUAUCUCUCAUUUGUUCUUCUAGAAAUCCAUCUGUUCCUCCUAUAGAGGCCUUUUCCCCCACUGCCUCUUUUCCCUACUAAGCUGGGCAUAUAAGUUUCUAGCUUUAACUACUUACUGAGUUUCUUCUUUUUCAAGCUCCUAUAUGCAUAUAAAUAAGGUCCCCCUGCCCACCUGUUAAUCUGUCUUUUAUCAGCUUAAUUUGCAGGCCCCCAGGUACUGAACUUAAGAGGACAGAGGAAAAGUUUUUCCUCCCUGACACUGAGCAACCAGAGGCUGCUGUUAAGUAACCUUCCCUCAUUUCUACGUCUGUCCUCUGCCCCUUCCAGCCCCUCAACCCACAUUGUCUCUCAUGUUCCUAUUCACCUAAAAGAGGAAAAUCAUAUUAUUUCAAUAAACCUCUGCCUUAUAGUUUGUAAA